rnacentral:rRNA from 1 species
UACGUAGGGUGCAGGCGUUAAUCGGAAUUACUGGGCGUAAGACGCACGUAGUCGGCUUUGCAAGUCGGGUGUGAAAUCCCCGGGCUCAACCUGGGAACUGCAUCCGAGACUGCAUUGCUAGAGUAUGGGAGAGGGAAGCGGAAUUUCUGGUGUAGCAGUGAAAUGCGUAGAUAUCAGAAGGAACAUCAGUGGCGAAGGCGGCUUCCUGGACCAAUACUGACGAUCAGGUGCGAAAGCGUGGGGAGCAAACAGG